rnacentral:lncRNA from 1 species
UGGAAGAUGGGCCCGGCAAGGAAUCUCGCGGAUCCAUCGGAAAAAGAGCGCCAGAGCGCGCGUGCGCCCUGCUUCAGAGUGCCACCGCCGCGUGGCAUGACCACACCAACGAUCGCCGCCUCGCCCAGUCGUAGGCCGCAACAAGAUGGAUCAACACGCCUCUUUCCCAAUCGUGUGCUGAAGAGCCCUGCAGACCUCUCCGCCCGUCUUGUCUCGCCCGAGAACUCAUCGGCCGCGCCAGGCGCACUGCCUGCCACUGCGACCGAAGAUUGGCCGCUACUGCGCUAGUACCGCCUCGCCUCCUGCGCGCAUCGUCUCACUCGGAUCCCCAGCCGCGCGCCCCAACGC